AUUGAACGCUGGCGGCAGGCCUAACACAUGCAAGUCGAACGGUAACAGGAAGAAGCUUGCUUCUUUGCUGACGAGUGGCGGACGGGUGAGUAAUGUCUGGGAAACUGCCUGAUGGAGGGGGAUAACUACUGGAAACGGUAGCUAAUACCGCAUAACGUCGCAAGACCAAAGAGGGGGACCUUCGGGCCUCUUGCCAUCGGAUGUGCCCAGAUGGGAUUAGCUAGUAGGUGGGGUAACGGCUCACCUAGGCGACGAUCCCUAGCUGGUCUGAGAGGAUGACCAUCCACACUGGAACUGAGACACGGUCCAGACUCCUACGGGAGGCAGCAGUGGGGAAUAUUGCACAAUGGGCGCAAGCCUGAUGCAGUCAUGCCGCGUGUAUGAAGAAGGCCUUCUGGUUGUAAAGUACUUUCAGCGGGGAGGAAGGGAGUAAAGUUAAUACCUUUGCUCAUUGACGUUACCCGCAGAAGAAGCACCGGCUAACUCCGUG
rnacentral:rRNA from 1 species